rnacentral:lncRNA from 1 species
UUCUCUUAAGAUGGAUAUUGGCAGAAAGAGACAUGUCGCCUACAAAUUUCCUGUGGUUUGCUUGGGGCCUAUUCAACAGCUGAUGAAGUUAAUGGAUCACAGUUCUCUAGAAGGAUUCCGGAAGGAGUACGGUUUGAUUCUAAGUUUCGUCACGGUUCUUUCCAAAGAUCAACAUGAUGCUCUCUUUACAUUGUUGCAGUUCUAUGACCCUCCAUUGAGGUGUUUCACGUUC